rnacentral:pre_miRNA from 1 species
AUUGCGACGUAGACCCGUAGCAGAUAUUAAUCUUUUGCUGCUGGGCUGCCUCGCUGGGC